rnacentral:RNase_P_RNA from 2 species
CGAGUAAGCUAUGCGGUUGAACGCUUUUUGCGUUAGGAAAGUCCGGGCAUCACAGAGCAGGGUAGCUGCUAACGGCAGCCGAGGGUGACCUUAGGGAAAGUGCAACAGAGAUAUACCGCUGAUUUUUUCAGUAAGGGUGGAAAGGCGAGGUAAGAGCUCACCGGGGCAGCGGAGACGCUGCUGCCAUGUAAACCCUAUCCGAUGCAACGUCUAUUGGUACGUGUACGUCAAUGUCUGCUCGGCAGGCGUACCGUAAAGACGGCUAAAGCGUUUCGGCGACGAUCCGCUCAGAUAGAUUUCCGCACACGACAAAACCCGGCUUAUCGGCUUAGUCGCAUU